CAUGCAAGUCGAGCGGUAGCACAGAGAGCUUGCUCUCGGGUGACGAGCGGCGGACGGGUGAGUAAUGUCUGGGAAACUGCCUGAUGGAGGGGGAUAACUACUGGAAACGGUAGCUAAUACCGCAUAACGUCGCAAGACCAAAGUGGGGGACCUUCGGGCCUCAUGCCAUCAGAUGUGCCCAGAUGGGAUUAGCUAGUAGGUGGGGUAACGGCUCACCUAGGCGACGAUCCCUAGCUGGUCUGAGAGGAUGACCAGCCACACUGGAACUGAGACACGGUCCAGACUCCUACGGGAGGCAGCAGUGGGGAAUAUUGCACAAUGGGCGCAAGCCUGAUGCAGCCAUGCCGCGUGUGUGAAGAAGGCCUUCGGGUUGUAAAGCACUUUCAGCGGGGAGGAAGGCGGUGAGGUUAAUAACCUUGGCGAUUGACGUUACCCGCAGAAGAAGCACCGGCUAACUCCGUGCCAGCAGCCGCGGUAAUACGGAGGGUGCAAGCGUUAAUCGGAAUUACUGGGCGUAAAGCGCACGCAGGCGGUCUGUCAAGUCGGAUGUGAAAUCCCCGGGCUCAACCUGGGAACUGCAUUCGAAACUGGCAGGCUAGAGUCUUGUAGAGGGGGGUAGAAUUCCAGGUGUAGCGGUGAAAUGCGUAGAGAUCUGGAGGAAUACCGGUGGCGAAGGCGGCCCCCUGGACAAAGACUGACGCUCAGGUGCGAAAGCGUGGGGAGCAAACAGGAUUAGAUACCCUGGUAGUCCACGCCGUAAACGAUGUCGAUUUGGAGGUUGUGCCCUUGAGGCGUGGCUUCCGGAGCUAACGCGUUAAAUCGACCGCCNGGGGAGUACGGACGCAAGGUUUAUACUCAAAUGAAUUGACGGGUGCCCGUCCAAGCGGUGUAGCAUGUGUUUUAUUUCGAUGCAACGCUAAUAACCUUACCUGUCCU
rnacentral:rRNA from 1 species